rnacentral:misc_RNA from 1 species
UCAAACUUGGUCAUUUAGAGGAAGUACAAGUCGUAACAAGGUAUCCGUAGGUGAACCUGCGGAUGGAUCAUUGAAGGAUUUUGGUUUUUUUGUGGGGUGUGGAAAUGGUUGUGGUGUGGGUGUGGGGGUUUGACUAGUUUAGUUGGAAGUUUGAGGUACUUUGGCAGUGUUGAAGUUACUCUGCACCGUUGGAGUUACUCUGCACUGUUGGAGUUACUCUGCACUGUUGAAGUUACUCUGCACCGUUGGAGCUCCUCUGCACUGUUGGAGUCCUUCUUCUCCUAAAAACUCUUCAAAUCUCCCACCCUGCCGUAUUGCUUGUCUUCAAUACUGACUUGAUAUCAAUCAAUUACAACUUUUAGCAACGGAUCUCUUGGCUCUCGCAUCGAUGAAGAACGCAGC